rnacentral:rRNA from 1 species
AUUAAACGCUGGCGGCAGGCCUAACACAUGCAAGUCGAGCGGCAGCGGGAAAGUAGCUUGCUACUUUUGUCGGCGAGCGGCGGACGGGUGAGUAAUGCCUGGGAAAUUGCCCAGUCGAGGGGGAUAACAGUUGGAAACGACUGCUAAUACCGCAUACGCCCUACGGGGGAAAGCAGGGGACCUUCGGGCCUUGCGCGAUUGGAUAUGCCCAGGUGGGAUUAGCUAGUUGGUGAGGUAAUGGCUCGCCAAGGCGACGAUCCCUAGCUGGUCUGAGAGGAUGGUCAGCCACACUGGAACUGAGACACGGUCCAGACUCCUGCGGGAGGCAGCAGUGGGGAAUAUUGCACAAUGGGGGAAACCCUGAUGCAGCCAUGCCGCGUGUGUGAAGAAGGCCUUCGGGUUGUAAAGCACUUUCAGCGAGGAGGAAAGGUUGAUGCCUAAUACGUAUCAACUGUGACGUUACUCGCAGAAGAAGCACCGGCUAACUCCGUGCCAGCAGCCGCCGUAAAAC